rnacentral:lncRNA from 1 species
UUUACAAUAAAAUCUGACACCAAGAUUUCUUGCUACUCCAAACACAAUUUUCUUCAAGGCUCCGUCGUAGAGACUACAGUGUUCGCAUCAAAAGGUGAAAAAUCAUGUGAGGCAGAAACUGCAGAAAAACUCGUUUGGCCCAAAACACUCUCUAAGAAGAAUGCCACGGUUUCAUGUCCAGAAGGUUUCGAAGGAAGUGUUACAAGACAAUGCAACAAAGAUGGCCAAUGGGAGAAUUUUGAUCAAGCAGGUUGUGCAAAGACUGAAAUUAUCGAUGCGAAA